GCAGCCGCGGUAAUUCCAGCUCCAAUAGCGUAUAUUAAAGUUGUUGCAGUUAAAAAGCUCGUAGUUGAAUUUCGGGAUCAUCAGGUUGGUCGUGCCUCCGGUAUGUACUUGCUUCGGUGGUCCCUCCUUCUUGAAGAACCGUAAUGCCAUUAAUUUGGUGUUGCGGGGAAACAGGACUGUUACUUUGAAAAAAUUAGAGUGUUUAAAGCAGGCAAUCGCUUGAAUACAUUAGCAUGGAAUAAUGAAAUAGGACGUUCGAUCUUAUUUUGUUGGUUUCUAGGAUUGACGUAAUGAUUAAUAGGGAUAGUUGGG
rnacentral:rRNA from 1 species